GUUCCUCUCUGUUUAAAACAGAGCAGUUUACUUUGGAAAGUGAAGAAUGGAAUCCUUGGGAAGGAGAUGAAAAAUAUGAGCAACAACACAGACUUAAAACUAGCCUUCAAAUAUUAAAUAAAUCCACAAAAGGGAAAACAGACUUCCAUGUACAAAUCUGGGGCAAAGACUGUCAUUGAAAACAUGUAUGUAAAUAGACUGUAUGUCUGGGGAAAGGAAAUCCUGGGGCAAAAUACCUGUGAAACUGAAAUCAGUUAAAAGGAGAAAUAAAGUUAAAAUCCAUUUAUUUAAGCUUACAAACUGCAUCCCGGGAUCUUCUCUUUCCUGCUCCAGCAGAAGCAAAACCGUGCCCCCUCCUGCCCCCCCACCCGCCUCUCAGGUACAGAUAAGCCCUCAGCUGCCCAGGUUUUAUCUCUGGGAGCACAUUUUUGAAGGCUUACUUGAUCCCACUGAUGUGACGGUUCGGUGGAGAGAAGGAAAUUCAGUUGUAGGAAGAACACAUUACAGGUAAUAAUUAUGCAACUUGUGAACUUCUACUUCAACUUGUGAAGAAGAGGAGUAAAUCCCAUGAAUAUGUAUUUGUAGUUAAAAGCUUAUCCUGAACAUUUUCUUAUGAAGUUGGAUGUUAUAAAAUAUUCCUUUUUAUUAGAACCAUGUUUGUUUCAUUUUUAUCAAAAUAUUUCUGAUUAUAUAGAAAAGUUCAUGCUUUAACAUUUUGAUUGUUGAUAAGCAUUUAGCAUUCCAUUUCUUAGAGAAAUACUAUGUAAACUUAAGAGUAAUUUCAUUUUUCUCUCUCAUAUAAUAGUCAUGUUCACAUAUUUUUAUAAUAUUCAAGUAGUAUCAAAGCUGUUCUUAGGAGUUUUAAAUAUUGUAUUUACUAAAAUGUAUUUCAUAUGUGAGUUCUACUAUGAUAUGAUGAUAUAGAUUACCAUUAUACUACAGUACUCCAGAAAUCUCUUCCUAAAUUGUUUUCUACUGAAGAAUAGUUGACAUACAGUAUUAGGUAUACAAGGUAGUGAUUCACAAAUUAUGUACAUUAUGAAAUGCUCACAAUAAGUGUGGUUACCAUCUGUCACCAUAUAAAGUUAUUAUAAUAUUAUUGACCAUAUUCCCUGUCCUACACAGAAAUCUUAUUUUUUAGAUUCAAUAAAACUUGCAUAUUCUUAAGACUUUGAGCUUUUAUUUUUAUAAAACUCAUAUCUGUGAUUACAUAUUUUCUAAAGUUUUUAAAUAGAAUUAAGGUCUUUAUUUAGACAAAUUGUGAUAAUUUUGGUAUAUGAAAGAAUGCUUUUUUCUACUGGAUUUUGCUUUCUUACUGAAAUAAAAAAAAUUAUUAUUAUUUUAAAUUGCUUUCUUCUUGUAACAAUUGCAUUAGGGGAAAAAAUGUGCACCAAAGAUUCUGGUUUCUGUUAGGAUUCCAUGUCUUUCCCACAAAAGUCAAGAGAAAAAUCGCACUAUCAUUGGAAUUUUCACUCCUUUAAUUCUUUCUUCAUAUAGUUUUUUGAAAGUAAAGUCACUUUAUGUAUCUUUUCACAGUAAUCAUUCUCCAAAAGUUAUAGGCUUUUAAAUUAUUAUUGGUAAUCAUUAUUUUUCUUUUCACCCCCAGGCUUCUAUUGAUAUAAUGCUAUUCAAAAUUUUAU